AUGCGAAACAGGGCGGCCGGGCCGCCCUGUCUGCCCGGCGUGGUGGCCGGGUACUGAUGAGCAGCCGACC
rnacentral:hammerhead_ribozyme from 1 species